rnacentral:rRNA from 1 species
AGUUACUCUGCUCCUGUAACCGUUGGUAUUGAAUACACCACAAAAGUUCGAGGGACAACAUCAUAUCCACAGCAGGGAAGUUCCAUCAUUGGGUACAUGCCUAUUAUGCUUAGAAGUCGUGCCUGUGUUUUGAAUGGAAAGGAUGAAGAUGAACUAGCAAGAUAUGGUGAGUGCCCUCUUGAUCCUGGUGGUUACUUCAUUGUGAAAGGAAAUGAGAAGUUCCUUAUUAUACAAGAACAACUAUCAAAGAAUCGUAUUAUUAUUGAGACCGACAGUAAAGGAAGGGUGACUGCAUCUGUUGUGAGCAGCACACACCAAAAAAAAAGCAAGACCAUUGUUGUUAUGGAGAAGGAGAAGAUUUAUCUACAGUUGAAUCAAUUUACUAAGCUGAUUCCUAUAAUGGUUGUUAUGAAAGCCAUGGGAAUGGAAAGUGAUCAAGAGAUUCUACAAAUGAUUGGACGAGAUCCAAGAUAUGGGGACCUCCUGUUUUUAUCUAUUCAGGAAUGUGCCUCAGAGAGAAUAUAUACACAAGAGCAAGCUCUUCAGUACAUGGAUGGCAAGUUGAAGUAUCCCGAUUCAGGAAAUCUGAAGGAGAGUCGGUCAAAAUCAAUACUCCGUGAUGUUUUUCUUGCACAUGUGCCGGUCAAUAAUGGGAACUUCAGAGCAAAGUGCAUUUACACUAGCGUAAUGUUAAGGCGCAUGAUGGAUGCAAUCUUGAAUGCCGACACUUUUGAUGAUAAGGAUUACAUAGGAAAUAAGAGGCUGGAACUGUCUGGUCAACUACUAUCACUGCUAUUCGAGGAUUUGUUCAAAACAAUGAAUUCUAAUGCUGUGAAGAGGAUGAGCGCACAAAGUAGUAAAGCCCAAACAGAUAGUUUUAAGCAGAUAAUAGAGAAGAAUAUUACCAUCACCUCUGGUUUGGAGAGGGCUAUUAACACAGGAAAUUGGGACAUAAGCCGGUUUGGGAUGAGUAGAAAGGGAGUAUCACAGUUUCUUUCUAGGUUAUCCUACAUUGCAUCCGUAGGCUACAUGACGCGCAUAUCACCGCAAUUUGAGAAGACUCGGAAAACAAGUGGACCUCGUGCAUUGCAACCUAGCCAGUGGGGUAUGCUUUGCCCAUGCGAUACUCCUGAAGGGGAACUUUGUGGAUUGACAAAAAAUUUAGCUUUGUUGGCUCAUGUUACAACAGAUCAAGAGGAUGGCCCACUCAUAAAUCUGUGUUAUAGCCUAGGUGUGGAAGAUUUAUCAAUUCUAUCAGGAGAAGAAAUUCAUGCACCAGGUUCAUAUUUGGUCAUGUUCAAUGGAUUAAUACUGGGGAAACAUAGGCAACCUCAGAUAUUUGCUAUUGCUAUGAGAACAUUGCGUCGGUCAGGCUACAUUGGGGAGUUUGUAAGCAUUUUUGUAAAUGAGAAGCAGCAUUGCAUUCACAUUGCCUCUGAUGGUGGUCGUGUUUGUUGCCCACUUAUAAUCGCUGAUAAGGGGAGAUCAAGUGUCCAAGAGCAUCAUAUGAAACAACUGAGGGAUGGUAUACUCUCAUUUGAUGAUUUUCUGCGUGAUGGGUUGAUUGAAUAUCUUGAUGUCAAUGAAGAGAAUAAUGCAUUGAUUGCAUUGUAUGAGCAUGAGAAUCAAGAUGAUGUUCAGAGAAGCAGAAUCACACACAUUGAAAUAGAGCCCUUGACUAUACUAGGAGUUGUGGCUGGACUUAUUCCUUAUCCACACCAUAACCAAUCUCCACGUAACACUUAUCAGUGCGCAAUGGGUAAGCAAGCAAUGGGCAAUAUUGCAUAUAAUCAGGUUUUCCGGGCAGAUCCUCUACUAUAUUUGUUGGUGUAUGCGCAGCGUCCCCUGCUUACAACGAAAACAAUCGAGUUGGUGGGAUAUGAUAAGCUUGGGGCUGGGCAGAAUGCAACUGUUGCUGUCAUGAGUUACAGUGGAUAUGAUAUUGAAGAUGCAAUUGUAAUGAAUAAGUCAUCCCUUGAUCGAGGUUUUGGUCGCUGCAUAGCAAUCAAAAAGGUACAAGGUCACUAUCAGAAGUAUGGAAAUAAUAUAUCAGAAAAGAAUGUUAAACCGGAGAGGGAUAAAGAUGGUGUUUUGAUGAAAAAGAAUAUGCAGGCAUUGGAUGAAGAUGGAUUUGCGGCACCAGGUCGAAUAAUCCACAAUCAUGAUAUCUAUGUGAAUAAGAAAACUCCCAAGAUAAUUCCUGAUGAUACUGCAAACAGUCCUGCCGUUAGAUUAACAGACAGGUGA